GCUGAGGUCUGUCCCGACUGACCUUCACCCAUAGGAUCAUGUCGUUGGAAAUACCUCGCAGAGUAAACCCGUAGUCUCGCUUUACCCACGUGUUCACCACCAUGGGCAUGCUGGGAUAUGACUGCAAAACAUCA